rnacentral:rRNA from 1 species
AUGGACGAAAGUCUGACCGAGCAACGCCACGUGAGUGAAGAAGGUUUUCGGAUCGUAAAACUCUGUUGUUAGAGAAGAACAAGGAUGAGAGUAACUGUUCAUCCCUUGACGGUAUCUAACCAGAAAGCCACGGCUAACUACGUGCCAGCAGCCGCGGUAAUACGUAGGUGGCAAGCGUUGUCCGGAUUUAUUGGGCGUAAAGCGAGCGCAGGCGGUUUCUUAAGUCUGAUGUGAAAGCCCCCGGCUCAACCGGGGAGGGUCAUUGGAAACUGGGAGACUUGAGUGCAGAAGAGGAGAGUGGAAUUCCAUGUGUAGCGGUGAAAUGCGUAGAUAUAUGGAGGAACACCAGUGGCGAAGGCGGCUCUCUGGUCUGUAACUGACGCUGAGGCUCGAAAGCGUGGGGAGCAAACAGGAUUAGAUACCCUGGUAGUCCACGCCGUAAACGAUGAGUGCUAAGUGUUGGAGGGUUUCCGCCUCUUCAGUGCUGCAGCUAACGCAUUAAGCACUCCGCCUGGGGAGUACGACCGCA